rnacentral:rRNA from 1 species
CCUACGGGAGGCAGCAGUAGGGGAAUAUUGGACAAUGGACGCAAGUCUGAUCCAGCCAUCCCCGCGUGAAGGAUUAAGGCCCUAUGGGUUGUAAACUUCUUUUCUUUGGGUAAUAAAAGCGGUAAUUCAUAUCGCCUUGAAGGUACCAGAGGAAUAAGCACCGGCUAACUCCGUGCCAGCAGCCGCGGUAAUACGGAGGGUGCAAGCGUUAUCCGGAUUCACUGGGUUUAAAGGGUGCGUAGGUGGCUUUGUAAGUCAGCGGUGAAAGCCUGGAGCUCAACGUCCAGAAUUGCCAUUGAUACUGCAGAGCUUGAAUCAAGUUGAGGUGGAUGGAAUAUUACAUGUAGCGGUGAAAUGCUUAGAUAUGUAAUAGAACACCGAUUGCGAAGGCAGUUCACUAAGCUUGUAUUGACACUGAGGCACGAAAGCGUGGGGAUCAAACAGGAUUAGAUACCCUGGUAGUCCACGCCCUAAACCGAUGCAAACUCGACAUUAGCGAUAUACAGUUAGUGUCCCAAGCCGAAAGCGUUAAAGUUUGCCCACCGUCGGAGGUACGACCGCGAGGUAGUAAACGUUAAAGGUAAAGUUAGUACGGACGUAGAGACGUAGACCGACGGACGACGACGAGGGAGGUUAGGG